GCCGGGUCUUAAGCCGGAGGAAGGUGGGGAUCGGAUGUCAAGGUCAGCAUGGCCUUUAUAUCCUGGGCUACACACACGCUACAAUGGCCAGCACAGUAGGUUGCUAAGCCGCGAGGUGGAGCCAAUCCAUAAAGCUGGUCUCAGUUCAGAUUGCAGGCUGCAACCCGCCUGCAUGAAGAUGGAGUUGCUAGUAACCGCAGGUCAGCAAUACUGCGGUGAAUACGUUCCCGGGUCUU
rnacentral:rRNA from 1 species